AGAGUUUGAUCCUGGCUCAGAACGAACGCUGGCGGCAUGCCUAACACAUGCAAGUCGAACGCUUGUCCGGCUUUGGCCGGGCGGGAGUGGCGCACGGGUGAGUAGCGCGUGGGAACCUGCCCUGUUGUGGGGGAUAACCGAGGGAAACUUCGGCUAAUACCGCAUGCGCCCGGGCAACCGGGGAAAGAUUUAUCGCAGCAGGAGGGGCCCGCGUCGGAUUAGCUAGUUGGUGGGGUAACGGCCUACCAAGGCAGCGAUCCGUAGCUGGUCUGAGAGGAUGAUCAGCCACACUGGGACUGAGACACGGCCCAGACUCCUACGGGAGGCAGCAGUGGGGAAUAUUGGACAAUGGGCGCAAGCCUGAUCCAGCAAUGCCGCGUGAGUGAUGAAGGCCUUAGGGUUGUAAAGCUCUUUCGCCCGCGACGAUGAUGACGGUAGCGGGAGAAGAAGCCCCGGCUAACUUCGUGCCAGCAGCCGCGGUAAUACGAAGGGGGCGAGCGUUGUUCGGAUUUACUGGGCGUAAAGGGCGCGUAGGCGGCGCCGCAAGUCGAGUGUGAAAGCCCCGGGCUCAACCUGGGAAUUGCGCUCGAGACUGUGGUGCUGGAGUUCGGGAGAGGAGCGUGGAAUUCCCAGUGUAGAGGUGAAAUUCGUAGAUAUUGGGAAGAACACCGGUGGCGAAGGCGGCGCUCUGGACCGAGACUGACGCUGAGGCGCGAAGGCGUGGGGAGCAAACAGGAUUAGAUACCCUAGUAGUCC
rnacentral:rRNA from 1 species